rnacentral:rRNA from 1 species
AUGAACGCUGGCGGCGUGCCCAAUACAUGCAAGUCGAGCGCACAGAUGAGGAGCUUGCUCCUCUGACGUUAGCGGCGGACGGGUGAGUAACACGUGGAUAACCUACCUAUAAGACUGGGAUAACUUCGGGAAACCGGAGCUAAUACCGGAUAAUAUAUUGAACCGCAUGGUUCAAUAGUGAAAGACGGUUUUGCUGUCACUUAUAGAUGGAUCCGCGCCGCAUUAGCUAGUUGGUAAGGUAACGGCUUACCAAGGCAACGAUGCGUAGCCGACCUGAGAGGGUGAUCGGCCACACUGGAACUGAGACACGGUCCAGACUCCUACGGGAGGCAGCAGUAGGGAAUCUUCCGCAAUGGGCGAAAGCCUGACGGAGCAACGCCGCGUGAGUGAUGAAGGUCUUCGGAUCGUAAAACUCUGUUAUUAGGGAAGAACAAAUGUGUAAGUAACUAUGCACGUCUUGACGGUACCUAAUCAGAAAGCCACGGCUAACUACGUG